rnacentral:rRNA from 1 species
UACGUAGACAGCGAGCGUUGUUCGGAGUUACUGGGCGUAAAGAGUGCGUAGGCGGUUUUCUAAGUUUGGUGUGAAAUCUCCCGGCUCAACUGGGAGGGUGCGCCGAAGACUGGAAGGCUUGAGUAUGGGAGAGGUAAGCGGAAUUCCUGGUGUAGCGGUGAAAUGCGUAGAUAUCAGGAGGAACACCUGCGGUGUAGACGGCUUACUGGACCGAUACUGACGCUGAGGCGCGAAAGCUAGGGGAGCGAACGGG